GCCUCGGUAGUGUAGUGGUAGAGCAAGCGUCCCCGGAUAGGAUGAAACGCGGUUUCGAUCGAUUCCCGCCCGAGGCC